rnacentral:rRNA from 1 species
AGUGAACGUUGGCGGCGUGGAUUAGGCAUGCAAGUCGAGCGAGAACCGUAGCAAUACGGGGACAGCGGCGAAAGGGACAGUAAUGUGUAGGUACCUACCCCGAGGUCUGGGAUAGCUGCGGGAAACUGCAGGUAAUACCGGAUAAUGUCUUCGGGCCAAAGGUGUGAUUCCACCUUGGGAGGGGCCUGCAUCCUAUUAGCUAGUUGGCGGGGUAAUGGCCCACCAAGGCAACGAUGGGUAGCGGGUGUGAGAGCACGACCCGCGUCAUUGGGACUGAGAUACUGCCCAGACACCUACGGGUGGCUGCAGUCGAGGAUCUUCGGCAAUGGGCGAAAGCCUGACCGAGCGACGCCGCGUGCGGGAUGAAGGCCUUCGGGUUGUAAACCGCUGUCGUAGAGGAGGAAUUGCAGGGGGGUUCUCCCCUCUGUUUGACCUAUUCUAGGAGGAAGUACGGGCUAAGUUCGUGCCAGCCGCCGCGGUAA